CUGCACUCCCCCUCCCCCCCGUGCGAUUGCCUUUUCACGUGUAAAUAUGAAGAUAAUGAAUCAGGGGAGGAGUAAUUAAUCCUGCGGACUACCAUGCUACUCCCUGUACCGUUAGCCCAUGCCACUCCAUUCAUCUUCAAUUUCUAACUUAAAUAUGGGACUUCCUUCCCCCGGUGCAACUGCCUGAAGAAUAUAUAGCCAAUCUAACUAACCCUUGUCAUGGGCCCAGGGGAUCUGGGAUACCUUAAACCGCUGCUUUUAAAGACGGAGGUGUGGAAAUUCUGUGGGAGAAGCGCCUUGAUUCAAUCUCUCCAAGACCGUGUCGUUCAUCAACUCAGAAGGUCAAACAGUGCAGUGUGGAGGCCUGAGACCUAGGUUUACAUCUGCAUUUAUUCGUCAGUGUUUUCAAUACUGAAUUUUCAAGACCUGAAAGACCACUUUGUUUCACCCUAGUCAGCAGACACUGCUAUUGACAAUGGAUUUUUUUAAAAUAAAAAAAGUUUACAGACCAAAUGUGAAAUAAACAUCAA